CUGGAAAGGAUAUGGGGAAAAAGGAAUGCUUAUAGGCUGUUGGUAGGAGCAUAAAUUAGCUCAUCCAUUGUGGAAGGCAGUGUGGCAAUUGUUCAAAGAGCUAAAAACAGAACUACUAUUUGACUCAGCCAUCCCAUUAUUUGAUAUAU